rnacentral:rRNA from 1 species
UACGGGGGGUGCGAGCGUUGUCCGGAAUCACUGGGCGUAAAGGGCGCGUAGGUGGCGUCGUAAGUUUGUGGUGAAAGCCCGGAGCUCAACUCCGGGUCUGCCGCGAAUACUGCGAGGCUUGAGUACUGUAGAGGGGGGUAGAAUAUCGGGUGUAGCGGUGGAAUGCGUAGAGAUCCGAUAGAAGACCGGUGGCGAAGACGGCCCCCUGGGCAGUAACUGACACUGAGGCGCGACAGCGUGGGGAGCAAACAGG